rnacentral:rRNA from 1 species
AGUGAACGCUGGCGGUAGGCCUAACACAUGCAAGUCGAACGGCAGCACAGUAAGAGCUUGCUCUUACGGGUGGCGAGUGGCGGACGGGUGAGGAAUACAUCGGAAUCUACUCUUUCGUGGGGGAUAACGUAGGGAAACUUACGCUAAUACCGCAUACGACCUACGGGUGAAAGCAGGGGAUCUUCGGACCUUGCGCGAUUGAAUGAGCCGAUGUCGGAUUAGCUAGUUGGCGGGGUAAAGGCCCACCAAGGCGACGAUCCGUAGCUGGUCUGAGAGGAUGAUCAGCCACACUGGAACUGAGACACGGUCCAGACUCCUACGGGAGGCAGCAGUGGGGAAUAUUGGACAAAGGGCGCAAGCCUGAUCCAGCCAUACCGCGUGGGUGAAGAAGGCCUUCGGGUUGUAAAGCCCUUUUGUUGGGAAAGAAAAGCAGCAGGUUAAUACCCCGCUGUUCUGACGGUACCCAAAGAAUAAGCACCGGCCAACUUCGUG